rnacentral:rRNA from 1 species
AGAGUUUGAUCCUGGCUCAGGAUUAACGCUAGCGGCAGGCUUAAUACAUGCAAGUCGAACGGUAACAGGUGUAGCAAUACAUGCUGACGAGUGGCGCACGGGUGCGUAACACGUAUGCAACCUACCCUAUACAGGCGGAUAACCUUUAGAAAUGAAGGCUAAUAUGCCGUAGUAUUAUUUCGGGGCCUCCUGAGAUAAUUAAAGAUUUUCGGAUUGGUAUAGGAUGGGCAUGCGUCCCAUUAGUUAGUUGGUAGGGUAACGGCCUACCAAGGCUAUGAUGGGUAGGGGACCUGAGAGGGUUUACCCCCACACUGGUACUGAGACACGGACCAGACUCCUACGGGAGGCAGCAGUAAGGAAUAUUGGGCAAUGGGCGCGAGCCUGACCCAGCCAUGCCGCGUGCAGGAAGACGGCCUUAUGGGUUGUAAACUGCUUUUAUACGGGAAUAAUAGCUUCAACGUGUUGGAGUAUGCAAGUACUGUAUGAAUAAGCAUCGGCUAACUCCGUGCCAGCCGCCGCGGUAAUAC